rnacentral:rRNA from 1 species
UACGGAAGGCAGCAGUGGGGAAUAUUGCACAAUGGGCGCAAGCCUGAUGCAGCCAUGCCGCGUGUAUGAAGAAGGCCUUCGGGUUGUAAAGUACUUUCAGUCGUGAGGAAGGUGUUAAGGUUAAUAACCUUAGCAAUUGACGUUAGCGACAGAAGAAGCACCGGCUAACUCCGUGCCAGCAGCCGCGGUAAUACGGAGGGUGCGAGCGUUAAUCGGAAUUACUGGGCGUAAAGGGCACGCAGGCGGUUAAUUAAGUUGGAUGUGAAAUCCCCGGGCUUAACCUGGGAAUGGCAUUCAAGCUGGUUAGCUAGAGUCUUGUAGAGGGGGUUAGAAUUCCAUGUGUAGCGGUGAAAUGCGUAGAGAUGUGGAGGAAUACCGGUGGCGAAGGCGGCCCCUGGACAAAGACUGACGCUCAUGUGCGAAAGCGUGGGGAGCAAAC